rnacentral:rRNA from 1 species
GACGAACGCUGACGGCGUGCUUAACACAUGCAAGUCGAACGGAAAGGCCCCUUUGGGGGUACUCGAGUGGCGAACGGGUGAGUAACACGUGAGUAACCUGCCCUUGACUUCGGGAUAACUUCAGGAAACUGGGGCUAAUACCGGAUAGGAAUCCUUGCUGCAUGGUGGGGGUUGGAAAGCUUCGGCGGUUUUGGAUGGACUCGCGGCUUAUCAGCUUGUUGGUGGGGUAGUGGCUUACCAAGGCUUUGACGGGUAGCCGGCCUGAGAGGGCGACCGGCCACAUUGGGACUGAGAUACGGCCCAGACUCCUACGGGAGGCAGCAGUGGGGAAUAUUGCACAAUGGGCGGAAGCCUGAUGCAGCAACGCCGCGGGCGGGAUGACGGCCUUCGGGUUGUAAACCGCUUUCAGCAGGGGCGAAGCUUGUGGUGACGGUACCUGCAGAAGAAGCACCGGCUAACUACGUG